rnacentral:rRNA from 1 species
CUAAGUUUGAUGGCGACCAGCGCACGGGUGAGUAACACGUAUCCAACCUGCCGAUGACUCGGGGAUAGCCUUUCGAAAGAAAGAUUAAUACCCGAUGGCAUAGUUCUUCCGCAUGGUAGAACUAUUAAAGGAUUUCGGUCAUCGAUGGGGAUGCGUUCCAUUAGGUUGUUGGCGGGUAACGGCCCACCAAGCCUUCGAUGGAUAGGGGUUCUGAGAGGAAGGUCCCCCACAUUGGAACUGAGACACGGUCCAAACUCCUACGGGAGGCAGCAUG